AUGGCUGUGGAUGAAGAGAAAUUGCAGAACAUCCUAAGAGAACUGAAGGGGUCUGAAAUCAAAGAAUGUGUUCCACAUGUUGAAGAGUUGAUGAAAAAACCUCAGAUUCUUCACAGUGAUGUUUUGGAUUUGCUCACUGUUGUGGUGACCAGUUUACCUUCAAAGAAACCAGAAACAGCAAGACAACAGGCACCACGGUUCUGCUAUGUCAAAACUGGAGAGACUUAUGGUGCUCAUGAAACCAUAGUGAAAAAAGUGAAGAGAAGAAAAUGGAGGUCAUUAAAACAGGUUAGGAAGACAAAAAACAUGCAGGGAUGUGACAUCAUCAUUGUCUUCUGUCCAAUCACAUCCCGUACUGGUUCAGAUUCAGAAGCAGUCAAGAGACAUGCAGCAGUGUCAUCCAACAAUAAACCAGUCAUUGUGGUGCUGAUGCAUCACACCAGAGAUAAGGAGUUUUCACCAGGAGAAAGAAAAUGGUUUGAAGAUCCAAGGUUUGUGUUGGAGGUUCAUGUUCUCUUCCAUGAGACUCAGGGAGGAUUACUUCAAUGUGCACAAAAUCGACAGGCUGUCAGUAGAAUAAAAGAUCAGGUUCGCAAUCCCUACAAAAAUCAAAUGUGAGAUACUGUGUCGUUCAGCACAGAGGGCAGUAUCACAGUGGAGCAGGAGUAAACAGUAAACACUAAUAACGUAAACAGUGUUUGCUGAAACUGGCACUUCACUUCACCCUAGCCUGUGGCGCGCCUUGCUAGUCAUUGUAUGACACUGCUUGGCAGCAGCCGUAAAGAAUUUCCCUCUGGGAUUAAUAAAGUAUCUAAAAUAAAAUAAAAAUAAAAAUAA
rnacentral:lncRNA from 1 species